rnacentral:rRNA from 1 species
GACGAACGCUGGCGGCGUGCUUACCACAUGAAAAUCGAACGGAAAGGCCCUGCUUUUGUGGGGUGCUCGAGUGGCGAACGGGUGAGUAACACGUGAGUAACCUGCCCUUGACUUUGGGAUAACUUCAGGAAACUGGGGCAAAUACCGGAUAGGAGCUCCUGCUGCAUGGUGGGGGUUGGAAAGUUUCGGCGGUUGGGGAUGGACUCGCGGGUUAUCAGCUUGUUGGUGGGGUGGUGGCUUACCAAGGCUUUGCCGGGUCGCCGGCCUGAGAGGGUGACCGGCCACAUUGGGACGGAGAUACGGCCCAGACUCCUUCGGGAGGAAGCAGUGGGGAAUAGUGCACAAAGGGCGGAAGCCUGAUGCAGCAACGCCGCGUGCGGGAUGACGGCCUUCGGGUUGUAAACCGCUUUCGCCUGUGACGAAGCGUGAGUGACGGUAAUGGGUAAAGAAGCACCGGCUAACUACGUG